rnacentral:tRNA from 1 species
CAGAAAAUAUCUAGUUAGGAUGGUAGCUUUGGGAGUUGUUGGUGUAAGUGAAGGACUUACUUUUCUGA